rnacentral:rRNA from 1 species
UACAGAGGGUGCGAGCGUUGUUCGGAUUUAUUGGGCGUAAAGAGCGUGUAGGCGGCCAGGUAGGUCUGCUGUGAAAACUCGAGGCUUAACCUCGAGCUGUCGGCGGAAACCAUCUGGCUAGAGUCCGGAAGAGGAGAAUGGAAUUCCCGGUGUAGCGGUGAAAUGCGCAGAUAUCGGGAAGAACACCCGUGGCGAAGGCGGUUCUCUGGGACGGUACUGACGCUGAGACGCGAAAGCGUGGGGAGCGAACAGG